UACGUAGGGGGCUAGCGUUGUCCGGAUUUAUUGGGCGUAAAGAGCGCGCAGGCGGUCGUUCAAGUCGAGUGUGAAAGCCCCCGGCUCAACUGGGGAGGGUCAUUCGAUACUGUCCGACUCGAAGGCAGGAGAGGGAAGCGGAAUUCCCGGUGUAGUGGUGAAAUGCGUAGAUAUCGGGAGGAACACCAGUGGCGAAGGCGGCUUUCUGGCCUGUUCUUGACGCUGAGGCGCGAAAGCUAGGGGAGCGAACGGG
rnacentral:rRNA from 1 species